rnacentral:rRNA from 1 species
AGCGAACGCUGGCGGCAGGCCUAACACAUGCCAGUCGAACGAAGUCUUCGGACUUAGUGGCGGACGGGUGAGUAACACGUGGGAACGUGCCUUUAGGUUCGGAAUAACUCAGGGAAACUUGUGCUAAUACCGAAUGUGCCCUUCGGGGGAAAGAUUUAUCGCCUUUAGAGCGGCCCGCGUCUGAUUAGCUAGUUGGUGAGGUAAAGGCUCACCAAGGCGACGAUCAGUAGCUGGUCUGAGAGGAUGAUCAGCCACAUUGGGACUGAGACACGGCCCAAACUCCUACGGGAGGCAGCAGUGGGGAAUCUUGCGCAAUGGGCGAAAGCCUGACGCAGCCAUGCCGCGUGAAUGAUGAAGGUCUUAGGAUUGUAAAAUUCUUUCACCGGGGACGAUAAUGACGGUACCCGGAGAAGAAGCCCCGGCUAACUUCGUG